UUGACAUGUCCGGAACUUGCCAGAGAGUGGCGUUGGUGACCCGAAAGGAAUCGGAACACAGGUGCUGCAUGGCUGUCGUCAGCUCGUGUCGUGAGAUGUUGGGUUAAGUCCCGCAACGAGCGCAACCCUUAUCAUUAGUUGCUACGCAAGGGCACUCUAAUGAGACUGCCGGUGACAAACCGGAGGAAGGUGGGGAUGACGUCAAGUCCUCAUGGCCCUUAUGGGUAGGGCUUCACACGUCAUACAAUGGUCGGUACAGAGGGUUGCCAAGCCGCGAGGCGGAGCCAAUCCCACAAAGCCGAUCGUAGUCCGGAUCGCAGUCUGCAACUCGACUGCGUGAAGUCGGAAUCGCUAGUAAUCGUGGAUCAGAAUGUCACGGUGAAUACGUUCCCGGGUCUU
rnacentral:rRNA from 1 species